rnacentral:rRNA from 1 species
UACAGAGGGUGCAAGCGUUAAUCGGAAUUACUGGGCGUAAAGCGUGCGUAGACGGUCAUGUAAGUCGGGUGUGAAAGCCCCGGGCUCAACCUGGGAAUUGCAUUCGAGACUGCAUGGCUAGGAUGCGGAAGAGGGAAGCGGAAUUCCAGGUGUAGCGGUGAAAUGCGUAGAUAUCUGGAGGAAUACCGGUGGCGAAGGCGGCAUCCUGGACCAUUACUGACGCUGAGGCGCGAAAGCAUGGGGAGCGAACAGG